UACGUAGGGAGCAAGCGUUGUCCGGAAUCAUUGGGCGUAAAGCGCGCGUAGGCGGCCUUGUAAGUCCGUUGUGAAAGUCAAAGGCUCAACCUGGGAAUGGCGAUGGAUACUGGCGGGCUAGAGUGCGGUAGAGGAGAGUGGAAUUCCCGGUGUAGCAGUGAAAUGCGUAGAGAUCGGGAGGAACAUCAGUUGCGAAGGCGGCUCUCUGGACCAGCACUGACACUGAGGCACGAAAGCGUGGGGAGCAAACAGG
rnacentral:rRNA from 1 species